rnacentral:rRNA from 1 species
GACGAACGCUGGCGGCGUGCUUAACACAUGCAAGUCGAACGGAAAGGCCCUGCUUUUGUGGGGUGCUCGAGUGGCGAACGGGUGAGUAACACGUGAGUAACCUGCCCUUGACUUUGGGAUAACUUCAGGAAACUGGGGCUAAUACCGGAUAGGAGCUCCUGCUGCAUGGUGGGGGUUGGAAAGUUUCGGCGGUUGGGGAUGGACUCGCGGCUUAUCAGCUUGUUGGUGGGGUAGUGGCUUACCAAGGCUUUGACGGGUAGCCGGCCUGAGAGGGUGACCGGCCACAUUGGGACUGAGAUACGGCCCAGACUCCUACGGGAGGCAGCAGUGGGGAAUAUUGCACAAUGGGCGGAAGCCUGAUGCAGCAACGCCGCGUGCGGGAUGACGGCCUUCGGGUUGUAAACCGCUUUCGCCCGUGACGAAGCGUGAGUGACGGUAAUGGGUAAAGAAGCACCGGCUAACUACGUGCCAGCAGCCGCGGUGAUACGUAGGGUGCGAGCGUUGUCCGGAUUUAUUGGGCGUAAAGGGCUCGUAGGUGGUUGAUCGCGUCGGAAGUGUAAUCUUGGGGCUUAACCCUGAGCGUGCUUUCGAUACGGGUUGACUUGAGGAAGGUAGGGGAGGAUGGAAUUCCUGGUGGAGCGGUGGAAUGCGCAGAUAUCAGGAGGAACACCAGUGGCGAAGGCGGUUCUCUGGGCCUUUCCUGACGCUGAGGAGCGAAAGCGUGGGGAGCGAACAGGCUUAGAUACCCUGGUAGUCCACGCUGUAAACGGUGGGUACUAGGUGUGGGGUCCAUUCCACGGGUUCCGUGCCGUAGCUAACGCUUUAAGUACCCCGCCUGGGGAGUACGGCCGCAAGGCUAAAACUCAAAGGAAUUGACGGGGCCCCGCACAAGCGGCGGAGCAUGCGGAUUAAUUCGAUGCAACGCGUAGAACCUUACCUGGGUUUGACAUGGAUCGGGAGUGCUCAGAGAUGGGUGUGCCUCUUUUGGGGUCGGUUCACAGGUGGUGCAUGGCUGUCGUCAGCUCGUGUCGUGAGAUGUUGGGUUAAGUCCCGCAACGAGCGCAACCCUUGUUCACUGUUGCCAGCACGUUAUGGUGGGGACUCAGUGGAGACCGCCGGGGUCAACUCGGAGGAAGGUGGGGAUGACGUCAAGUCAUCAUGCCCCUUAUGUCCAGGGCUUCACGCAUGCUACAAUGGCUGGUACAGAGAGUGGCGAGCCUGUGAGGGUGAGCGAAUCUCGGAAAGCCGGUCUCAGUUCGGAUCGGGGUCUGCAACUCGACCUCAUGAAGUCGGAGUCGCUAGUAAUCGCAGAUCAGCAACGCUGCGGUGAAUACGUUCCCGGGGCU